UGCGUUUCCUAGAGCUGCUUGUCAGGUGCUUGUCAGCCAGUGGCUGGAGGAAUGGCUACCAAGGCUUCAGAUAGAAAAACGAAAGAGAGCAACGGGUACCUGAACUCAAGAGGAAAUCAGAAGAGAAAGGGUGAUAGGCUAUCAGAGGGAUGGAAGAGCUGCUGAGGAAAAAGCAGAAAACAAAAGAAAGAGGUCAGUUUUCUGUUUUUCUGUAGUGGGGAGGGAUCUAGGCCCUCGAGCAGGCUGCUCGUGCGCUGAACUGAGUCCCGUCCUCAGGCCUGUUUUUCAGUUCUAAUGGACAACCUUCAUUGUGAUUCUUUUCUGGGACACCCCAUAUUCUAGGAACUCAAGAAUCCUCAAGAGUCUUUUUCAGAAAUAGAUUUCCCAUUCCCAGGACUUCAGGUAGUCUUGUGAAUUAUAGUGGCAGCUUUUUUUUUUUUUUUUUUUUUUUUAACUAAAGGAAUCCCUCC